rnacentral:miRNA from 1 species
AAUAAUUUUUCGUCGCGCAAAAU